rnacentral:ncRNA from 2 species
UGUAUCCUUCGGGGCAGGGUGUAAUUCCCGACCGGCGGUAUUGAAACCGAUGCGUUUCUAAGCCCGCGAGCCGAAAUAGGCACGAUCCGGUGCGAUUCCGGAGCCGACAGUAUAGUCUGGAUGGGAGAAGGAUCAC